AGAUAGCUGACGAGUCCCAAAUAGGACGAAAUGCUCAUCCUGGAU
rnacentral:hammerhead_ribozyme from 1 species